GAGUUUGAUCCUGGCUCAGAUUGAACGCUGGCGGCAGGCCUAACACAUGCAAGUCGAACGGUAACAGGAUGUGCUUGCACAUCGCUGACGAGUGGCGGACGGGUGAGUAAUGCUUGGGAACUUGCCUUUGCGAGGGGGAUAACAGUUGGAAACGACUGCUAAUACCGCAUAAUGUCUUCGGACCAAACGGGGCUUAGGCUCCGGCGCAAAGAGAGGCCCAAGUGAGAUUAGCUAGUUGGUAAGGUAACAGCUUACCAAGGCGACGAUCUCUAGCUGUUCUGAGAGGAAGAUCAGCCACACUGGGACUGAGACACGGCCCAGACUCCUACGGGAGGCAGCAGUGGGGAAUAUUGCACAAUGGGGGAAACCCUGAUGCAGCCAUGCCGCGUGUGUGAAGAAGGCCUUCGGGUUGUAAAGCACUUUCAGUUGUGAGGAAAAGUUAGUAGUUAAUACCUGCUAGCCGUGACGUUAACAACAGAAGAAGCACCGGCUAACUCCGUGCCAGCAGCCGCGGUAAUACGGAGGGUGCGAGCGUUAAUCGGAAUUACUGGGCGUAAAGCGCACGCAGGCGGUUUGUUAAGCUAGAUGUGAAAGCCCCGGGCUCAACCUGGGAUGGUCAUUUAGAACUGGCAGACUAGAGUCUUGGAGAGGGGAGUGGAAUUCCAGGUGUAGCGGUGAAAUGCGUAGAUAUCUGGAGGAACAUCAGUGGCGAAGGCGACUCCCUGGCCAAAGACUGACGCUCAUGUGCGAAAGUGUGGGUAGCGAACAGGAUUAGAUACCCUGGUAGUCCACACCGUAAACGCUGUCUACUAGCUGUGUGUGCCUUUAAGGCGUGCGUAGCGAAGCUAACGCGCUAAGU
rnacentral:rRNA from 1 species